GCCUGGGUAGCUCAGUGGUAGAGCAGAACUUUUGUAAAGUUAAGGUCGCGAGUCCGACUCUCGCCUCAGGCU
rfam:Microgenomates (Woesebacteria) bacterium GW2011_GWA2_33_28 TR38_C0002, whole genome shotgun sequence.